AGCUCCAAUAGCGUAUAUUAAAGUUGUUGCAGUUAAAAAGCUCGUAGUUGGAUCUCGGGUCCAGGCUGGCGGUCCACCUCACGGUGGUUACUGCCUGUCCUGACCUACCUCCCGGUUCUCUCUUGGUGCUCUUGACUGAGUGUCUCGAGUGGCCGGAACGUUUACUUUGAAAAAAUUAGAGUGUUCAAAGCAGGCAACUCGCCUGAAUAAUGGUGCAUGGAAUAAUGGAAUAGGACCUCGGUUCUAUUUUGUUGGUUUUCGGAACUCGAGGUUAUGAUUAAGAGGGACAGACGGGGGCAUUCGUAUCACGGCGUUAGAGGUGAAAUUCUGGGAUCGCCGUGAGACGAACUAAAGCGAAAGCAUUUGCCAAGAACGUUUUCA
rnacentral:rRNA from 1 species